UACACUAUGAACCAUGGAAUCAGGUGGACA
rnacentral:piRNA from 1 species